AGCAUCCUCUCCUCCAGGCUCCACUGGAUUAAAAUAUAUAUAUAUAUAAAGACCACCUCCAUUCUGCGAUGAUAUUCAAGAAAAAAGUGCAGAGAGAGAGAGCAUGGGAGCUCCUUUCAGUCCAAUACGGAGGGCUGAUCGCAGCAAGAGCUGCCAUCUCAUGCACCAUGGCAAUACUUGACAUUAAAGAAAUGUUAAAAUGUUAAGUUUGGCCAAGUGCAUGGUGUGGGAGCAACUCCUUCUGUGCUUCGCUCACCCAUUGGACUGAAGGGAGCUCCUUCAUCAAUCAUCUUGUUCCAUUAAUUAAAUCUCUGCAAAGAUUCAAACCGUAAAGCCAGGAGAUCAGAGUCGACACUACGUUUUACAAGCUACAACGUUCAUGUGCUUGCAAGUAUGGCAAUUUCUUCCUCUUCUGUUCUUCACAAGUUGGCAUAUGCACAAAGCCAAAGUCCUUAGAUUUCUUCAUUAAUUGCCGAGAAUGAGAUAGACAAUUAUUUGCAGAAAGCUGAGAAGAUCUAAACAAAGCAGUUUGGAGAUAGAUCAAAUGAACUUUUGUCCCUAAACCCAUCAUUGCACUUCCAUGAUCCUCUAAUAAGCAUAUGUAUUUUACUUAAAUAUGUAGUUUUUAGCUUUGGUUUUUACUAAAUCAGGUAAAACUAAGAGGUUAUGGGAUAUGUAGGAAGCCUAACCCAAACGAUCUAAGCAAAAAGUAUCCCCUCUUUCUUUCUUUGUUUUUUUUUUUGGGUCUAUUAAUUAUGUUGUGUUUUGUUUUUAAGCAAAAGAUUGAUGCUAGCAAAAAGUUCAUGUUAGAGACGACUAUAAUAAGAAAUUCAUAGAG